rnacentral:rRNA from 1 species
UACGAAGGGGGCUAGCGUUGCUCGGAAUCACUGGGCGUAAAGCGCACGUAGGCGGAUAUUUAAGUCAGGGGUGAAAUCCCGAGGCUCAACCUCGGAACUGCCUUUGAUACUGGGUAUCUCGAGUCCGGAAGAGGUAAGUGGAACUGCGAGUGUAGAGGUGAAAUUCGUAGAUAUUCGCAAGAACACCAGUGGCGAAGGCGGCUUACUGGUCCGGUACUGACGCUGAGGUGCGAAAGCGUGGGGAGCAAACAGG